UGCGCCUUGCCAGCCCGCUCAGAAACUCAAAGGAAUUGACGGGGGCCCGCACAAGCGGUGGAGCAUGUGGUUUAAUUCGAUGAUACGCGAGGAACCUUACCUGGGCUCAAAUGUAUGUUGACGUAUUCUGAAAGGGAUACUUCUUCGGACAAUAUACAAGGUGCUGCAUGGUUGUCGUCAGCUCGUGUCGUGAGAUGUUGGGUUAAGUCCCGCAACGAGCGCAACCCUUGCCUUUAGUUGCCAGCAGUUCGGCUGGGCACUCUAAAGGGACUGCCGGUGUUAAACCGGAGGAAGGUGGGGAUGACGUCAAGUCCUCAUGGCCUUUAUGACCAGGGCUACACACGUACUACAAUGGCCGAUACAAAGGGCAGCGACACUGCGAGGUGAAGCCAAUCCCGUAAAAUCGGUCUCAGUCCGGAUUGGAGUCUGCAACUCGACUCCAUGAAGUUGGAAUCGCUAGUAAUCGUGGAUCAGCAUGCCACGGUAGAAUACGUUCCGGGCCUU
rnacentral:rRNA from 1 species